UACGGAGGGUGCAAACGUUGCUCGGAAUUAUUGGGCGUAAAGCGCACGUAGGCGGCUUUGCAAGUCCCAUGUGAAAUCCCACGGCUCAACCGUGGAAGUGCAUGGGAAACUGCAGAGCUUGAGUACUUAAGAGGAUCGCGGAAUUCCCGGUGUAGAGGUGAAAUUCGUAGAUAUCGGGAGGAACACCAGUGGCGAAGGCGGCGAUCUGGGAAGAUACUGACGCUGAGGUGCGAAAGCGUGGGGAGCAAACAGG
rnacentral:rRNA from 1 species